rnacentral:lncRNA from 1 species
CAAUGAUAGAUUUUUAUAAAAACCUGAACAGGAGUGUAUUCUUACUUUUUGACAGCAAUCAAUGGUGGGUGGGAGUGUGGUGGUGGUGGUGAUGGUGGUCUACUGUGACCACAGGCUUCGUUCGCAUGAUGUGCCUAACUUUACGGCCUUGGCUCUAACCUGAGGUUGACCAAAGGUCAGGGAAACGUUCCUGGACUGAACAAUGAGAUUGCCACUUCCAUCUUUGCUCAGACCAAAAGUCCUGGUCUGUGAAAUUUGGGGAAAAAUUGAGAAGUGUUAAUAUUAUAUUUUUAGACGCAGUCAUCAGCUUCCUCUCAUUUUUUUUUUUUUUAAGAUUUAUUUCUUCAUGAGAGACACACAGAGAGAGGCAGAGACAUAGGCAGAGGGUGGAGCAGGCUCCCACCAGGGAGCCGGACAAGGGACUCCAUCCUGGAUCCCAGGAUCACACCCUGAGCCCUGAGCUGAAGGCAAAUGCUCAACCUCUGAGCCACCCAAGCGUCCCCACACCUUUUUUUUUUUUAAGCUUCCUCUCAUUUGUUUGUUUCUUUUCUUGGGUGGAGAAAGAAGGAAAUUCCAUGAUUUGCAAGUCUGCCAGAGCCAGAGUGUGUGUGUAGGGCCAGGUUGCUGUCAGGCACAAAGGCAGGGAGAUGGCCUGUGUCCAAAUGAAGAUCCACUGGGGCAAGAAGAAAGCCAGGCUGGAAGGAAGAGAAGCAGGCUUCGAGCUCCAACAAUUCCUGCCCAGUGAGGCUCAGGGGCACCAGAGACAAGAGCCCAAAGGCCAUUCUUCGAAGCUGAGCAAGAUUGCAGGGUUUCUGAGAGUACUGCGCAGAAAUAAAGGAGACAAAAAUGUCACUGAUCCACCAGAAACUUCCAAAGGUUUCUCCGAGUUGGUCCAGGAUGGGCAGUUCCUGGAGGCCUACCUGAGCAUCCCGACAUUGGUAAAGCAAGGGCAAGACUGCAAAUCCCUGUACCAGGUUGUGGCCCAGAGCAUGUGGCAGGUGCUCCAGCAGGCUCUGGAGGGCACUGAGUACUGCCCGGAGCUGGAGCUAAAGAUCCAGGCUGUGCUGGGCACCAUAGAGUGGACACAGGAGAAGCACCAGAGCUGGGAGGAUGGUGACCUCCAGGAUGGUGACCUCCAGGAUGGUGACCUCCAGGAUGGCGGAGUUGCCGCCUGGGGCAAUCAGCUGGAGAAGCUGCUGAGAAGUGAUGUGGAGGCCAGAGUGCCUGCCCUGGGCCCUGGCGACCAGGUGGACCUGUACCUGGAGAAGCUAGAAGAGGCUGUGACACAGGGCCUGAGGUCCCCGCGGGCCAGCCUGUUGGGGCCCCAGCUCUGGAAGGUCUACAGGACACACUUCCAGGAGGUCCUCCUCAACCGCCUCUGGGAGCUCAUGCACUCCUUUGGCACCAACAGGGAAAGCUGUCACAUGCUGUACUCCUGGGCCAAGAUAACGUUGUUUGGGGAGCCAGGGAAAGCUUGGAGGAACAACUAG